rnacentral:rRNA from 1 species
AACGAACGCUGGCGGCAGGCCUAACACAUGCAAGUCGAGCGAGGACUCCGGUUCUAGCGGCGGACGGGGGGGUACCGCGUGGGAAUGUGCCCUUCUCUACGGUAUAGUCCUCUGAGACUUGGCUUAAUACCGCAUACGCUAUUUCCGGGUAAGAUCUCUCGGAGAAGGAUCAGCCCGCGUUAGAUUAGGUAGUUGGUGGGGUAAUGGCCUGCCAAGCCGACGAUGCAUAGCUGGUGUGAGAGGAUGCUCAGCAACGCUUGGACUGAGACACGGCCCAGACUCCGACGGGAGGCAGCAGAAGGGAAUAUUAGACAAGGGGGGCAACUCUGACCUAGCCAUGCCGCGUGAGUGAUGAAGGGCUUAGGGUUGUAAAGCCGUUUCUGCUGGGAAGUGAAUGACGGUACCAGCAGAAGAAGCCCCGGCUAACUCCGUG